rnacentral:rRNA from 1 species
GAGUUUGAUUAUGGCUCAGGAUGAACGCUGGCGGCGUGCCUAACACGAUGCAAGUCGAACGGGGUUAAGUGAAAUUUCGGAUGGAGCUUAACUAGUGGCGGACGGGUGAGUAACGCGUGGAUAACCUGCCUCACACUGGGGGAUAGCAGCUGGAAACGGCUGGUAAUACCGCAUAAGACCACAGGCACCGCAUGGUGCAGGGGUAAAAGAUUUAUCGGUGUGAGAUGGAUCCGCGUCUGAUUAGCCAGUUGGCGGGUAACGCCCACCAAAGCGACGAUCAGUAGCCGGCCUGAGAGGGUGAACGGCCACAUUGGGACUGAGACACGGCCCAAACUCCUACGGGAGGCAGCAGUGGGGAAUAUUGCACAAUGGGCGCAAGCCUGAUGCAGCAACGCCGCCGUGAGUGAAGAAGUAUUUCGGUAAUGUAAAGCUCUAUCGGCAGGGAAGAAAGGCCCUUAACAGGGAGAUGACGGUACCUGACUAAGAAGCCCCGGCUAACUACGUGCCAGCCGCUGC